rnacentral:rRNA from 1 species
UACGGGGGGGGCAAGCGUUGUUCGGAAUUACUGGGCGUAAAGGGCUCGUAGGCGGCCAACUAAGUCGGAUGUGAAAUCCCCAGGCUUAACCUGGGAACUGCAUCCGAUACUGGAUGGCUUGAAUCCGGGAGAGGGAUGCAGAAUUCCAGGUGUAGCGGUGAAAUGCGUAGAUAUCUGGAGGAACACCGGUGGCGAAGGCGGGUCUCUGGGCCGAUACUGACGCUGAGGAGCGAAAGCGUGGGGAGCGAACAGG